rnacentral:rRNA from 1 species
GAAUGUUGCGGUGAAUACGUUCCCGGGCCUUGUACACACCGCCCGUCACACCAUGGGAGUGGGUUGUACCAGAAGUAGAUAGCUUAACCGCAAGGGGGGCGUUUACCACGGUAUGAUUCAUGACUGGGGUGAAGUCGUAACAAGGUAACCGUAGGGGAACCUGCGGUUGGAUCACCUCCUUACC